CGGGGCUUAGAGGAAGGGGGGCGUGGCUAGUACGUAAGGGGCGUGGCCAGCUCGGUCUGACCCCGCCCCUCCUCUUGGCCCCGCCCCCAGACGGACGCCCCGCCCCCCUCUGGCAGGGGCAACAGCGACGGCGCCGCGAGGACGAGGCCCUGGCGCGCCGCGCCCUCGCCCUGAGCCAAUCCCUGGACGGAGUCCGUGGCGGAGGGCGGAGCUUCGAGGCCCCGCCCAGCCCCGCCCUGCGCCCUAAGGGGCCCCAGUACAGCCCAGUACGGACCAGUCCGGACCAGUGACCACCAGUACGGAGCGGCUGGGAGCCUGCGGGGGCGGAAUAAAGCCUUGAGACCUGAU